rnacentral:rRNA from 1 species
UGGGGAAUAUUGGACAAUGGGGGCAACCCUGAUCCAGCAAUGCCGCGUGAGUGAAGAAGGCCCUCGGGUUGUAAAGCUCUUUCAUCAGUGAUUAUAAUGACUGUAACUGAAGAAGAAGCUCCGGCUAACUCCGUGCCAGCAGCCGCGGUAAUACGGAGGGGGCUAGCGUUGUUCGGAAUUACUGGGCGUAAAGCGCGCGUAGGCGGAUCAAAAAGUUAGAUGUGAAAUCCCUAGGCUUAACUUAGGAACUGCAUUUAAAACUAGUGAUCUUGAAUUUGGUAGAGGAUAGUAGAAUUUCUAGUGUAGAGGUGAAAUUCGUAGAUAUUAGAAAGAAUACCAGUGGCGAAGGCGACUAUCUGGGCCAAUAUUGACGCUGAGGUGCGAAAGCGUGGGUAGCAAACAGG